UUCGUGAAGCUGGACUAACAUUUCACCUUCUUAAAGAUGUUCCUGGGAUUGUUUCAAAGAACAUUACUAAAGCAUUGGUUGAGGCUUUUGAGCCAUUGGGAAUUUCUGAUUACAACUCAAUCUUUUGGAUUGCACAUCCCGGUGGACCUGCAAUUCUAGAUCAAGUAGAGCAAAAGUUAGCCUUGAAGCCUGAAAAGAUGAAUGCAACCAGAGAAGUGCUCAGUGAAUAUGGAAAUAUGUCAAGUGCAUGUGUUUUGUUUAUCUUGGAUGAAAUGAGAAAGAAAUCAACUCAAAACGGAUUGAAGACAACGGGAGAAGGACUUGAAUGGGGUGUAUUAUUUGGUUUUGGACCAGGACUUACCAUUGAAACCGUUGUUUUGCGCAGUGUUGCCAUAUGAGAUGCUUAAUUUUUUUUUCUUUUCUUUCAUUUAUCAAUUUUCAAUUUGUUUAAUUUUUAUGUAAGGAUGAAAUUUCAUCUAGUGUUCAAUAUAUACCAUCAUAUUAAAAUAAUACAAUUGUGAUUAGCUUUAUAUAUUAACAAUAGUUAUUUAUUUGACUAAAUAUCAUUUAUAAUAAAGAAGCAAAUCGUGUCAGCAUAUUAACGACGAUAAAGAUGAUUAUAUGUUUGAAACUUAUGAAUUAAGUUUUGUAAUGUAUUAAUGUAAUGUGUGUACUCUUCUUACUUUUAGUGUUCGAAACUAAUAGCUAGAAUUCAGCAUUUUGACUGCGGUUUAUCUUCGAAUUUAUCCGCAGGAAAUCCUGGGGAUUAUUCCUGUGGUGGCAGGAAAAUCCGAAGGUAACUAGCACUUUCCCUUACGCUUCUAACUGGGAAAAUUCCGCUGCUAUUUCUGCGGGUUUUUCUUCGGAUCUUCCUUGAGUUUCCUGCGGAUUGUUUGAAUUAUUUUUUCAUUUUUUUUCUUCAUUAAAUUUGUAAGAUUUUAAGCUUUUUAUAUUUUUAUAAUGAAAAAGUUGAAUGUAGACCAUGUUUUGAAAUUUUUUUUCUUUCUAAAUUUUUAUUUUUAUUUAUCGACGGUGUAAAAUUUUUACACCUGAUUGAGUGUUUUAAUUAAUUUUAGAUGUAAUAUUUUUUUGAAGAACUUGACAUUUAAAAUUAUUUGUGUGGGUGUUUCCUCGUUAGACUUUAAAAUAAAAUAUAACAAUCAUAAGUUACAACUCAACUAACAAAUAACCAAAUUAUUAUGUCUGAUAUUUGUGAUGUUCCAAUACGUUUUUAUUUAUGUGAGUUUGAAGUGGUAAAAUUCUGCGCAAAGAGACAUGUAAAAAAUUAUAUAUAUGCAGAACUACUUUUGCAAAUCUGUCUCUUCAACUCAUAUAUGCAGACUUUCAAAGCCCCUUACUUUGGCAAACUUUCAAUUCAAAACUGCGACAAAAAUUCUGGCUGAAAGACUUGGUAUAUAGUGGCAGGUUUUUUUUAUAUUUGUGACAACUGGUGCACCUACUCCUAUGCAUGUUACAAAAAGAAUGACACUCCCAAGUAAUUAUUUUUAUGCUACAAAUGAUGUGUUCAUUUUCUAUAAAGGGACCAAAGCUAACAUGUUGUGCAUUUGAAAAUCUUCAGAAUAUAUUUGGCAUAGGUAAUCUUCCAUUCAUAUAUUUGGCUGUUCCUAUUUGCAAAUUGUAACUAGACAAAAGGUACAUUUUUGGACAGAUAGAUGGCUAUCUGACCCUCUUGUGGAGUUACUCAACAUCCCUCCUUAGUUGCAUGCAUAUUGUUUGCACAUUCAAAUUAUAUAUCCUAGGGACAAAGGAAUUUCAAUGAAAAGUUAUCUUUUAUUUUUGAUUAAAUUUUGCAAACUUCUUUGUCUUAAGGAUGCCACCUUAGAUCAUCUUCAUUAGACAACCUCCUUGAAAAGUUUGACCAAUGAAUGAUAAUGGACGUCUCUAGUUGAACUUAAAAGUUAGUAAAAGAUUUGACUAAUAGUUCACUCUCAUUUUGUUCAAGGAUUACACUCAGAAGAAAUUUUGUCUCCUGAUCACUAUAAGGUAAAUUUUCGUAGCUAAAUGUUCUAAGGACAUUGACUGACGACCGCAUUUACCGUGUAUUAUUUUCAACGACUGGCAACGAAAAUGUCCCGUCUAUCAUUGUCAAAUGACUGUCACUAUAUGUUUCCACCUUUACCUAUGGAAAAACCGUAGGUAAUACUAAAGAUACCCGUUUUUAAGGACCUAUACUUACAUUUGCGGCUGUCACUAAAACUUAUUAUUGUUUUAUUAAUUUUUUUUAUAUUUUCUAUUCUACUAUAAAUUCUGAAAAUAAAAAUUUCAUAAAAUUACCACUAAAAUAAGUUUAAUCAAUAUAAUAAAAUAUUAUAAUCAAUAUCAUUGAAAUUUGAAAUUGAUUACUAUAAUCAAUUUUUAGAAUAAUUUCUUGAAGUGGUUUAACUAGAAUAAUUCUCGCUAAUUAUUAACUAUUAUAUCAUUCACCCAAACCACAUAAAUCAAAAUCUACAUAUUCUCCAUUGCUCAUUUAAUUUAUGGUGACAAAAUUUGAAUCAGUGUUCAUAAUAGCUUAUCGGACAAAAUGACAUACUAUCAAGUUACAACUUACAAUCACUUAUUCUUCUUCUUUUUUAUUGUCCAACUAAGUUGGUACACUACUCUAAUUGUUUGCAAAUCUGGGAGACAUAAAAUCUAACCCAGUCAAUCCAUCCCUAACCGGUAAACCAUCAAAAAAAGAUCAAUGAUGUAGAUCCAACCCUAAUCAAUUCUAACAAACAAACACCAUUGACGAUAUACAUUUGUGAGUACCAAGCGGGUCUAUAUUUUGGCGAAUGAAUCGAUCGUCAACACGAAAUCAGAUCACGUAUCAUCAACUCCCUGCCAACAACAUCAAGCAUUAACGACUCUUUCGAGUCCACACAGCCACUUCUACAAUCACUUCAUACCUAAAAAAAAAACUUACAUCCACUUCUACAACAAGACAUAAUAAAUCAGAUUUUAACUUCUAAUUUGUGGAUCUUCAGCAAAUCACACUUGGAGAAGCUAAACCUGUCAAUGAUUCUGCAUAACCUCCACUUCACUUCAUCAAUAUAUGUAAUCAACACAUAAUGAACAAUAUAUAUAAAAGUAGAAAUGAACUCAAAUCACUCAACUCAUUGUUAACCAACAUUAUUCAUUAAUGAAGUCAUCUUCAAAAAUAGCGGGUGUACCAAAGCUAUUACCAUCAUCAACAAAAGUUGGAAGUCCACCGGUUGUCAAAUCCUGUCAAUAAGCUAGUAAAAUAAUCUUACAAGCUCGUGAGAAAGAAGUGUUACCAAACAAGUCUAUUUUGCUCAUAUGAACUUAUAAUCUAUGCUAUCCGCUAAAAACUCAAAAACUGACCUCACCAAACAACGCCUAAAAUAUGUCAUAAGUUAUAAACAUGUCAUAAGUUGUUUUUUUUAAGUUCUCCCAAACAGUCUCAUAAGUGCUUAUGCUAGUAGAUUAGCUCAAAUAGUGGUAGGUGGAUCAGCAAUAGCUUUGGAAGUCCUAGUGGAAGACGAUCGUAAAGAUGACAUGUUAUUCAAAACUUUCAGUUUAUUCAUCAACGGUUUUAUUUCUAUGACAUAAAAAGUAAGUAUAUAAUCAACUUAACUAAAACAAAAAUCGAAAUCAACAACAUUACAAGUAGUAAAACAGAGAUCAGUAACUAACCUUGAAAGAAGGUACUGGGAGCAACAAAAUCAAACCUAAAAAUAUAGCAUAACACAGUUAAUUAAUCGUAAAUUGGUAAUGGUGGUUGCGAUCGACGAGUGUUGAGUACAUGAGAGUAUCGAGAACGAUGAUAACGAGACGGUUAAUUGAAGGUUUGGUCCAACAUGAAUUGUUAUUGGGAAGAACAACAAAUAGAUAGAUGAUCACACCAAACUUCUAAUAAAAAGAACAAAUACUAAAUGAAUGGAAACAUUUUCCCUGACAAAAUAUAAUGAAUGACAUGGAACACUUAAAAAGAACACAAGAUAUCAAAAUUGACUUUAAUUUGUUUCAAAGACAUAUUGGCACAAACAAAUAUAGGAUUGUACAUGGUAUUUGCACAUCAACAUGUUUGCUGCUAUAUUCAGAAUCUGUUAUGCAGAUUUCUACUUCAUCCUUACAUAAAAGUUAAACAAAUUUGAAAUCAAUGAAAAUAAAAUAAUUAAACAUCUCAUAUGGCCACACUACGUAAAACAACAGUUUCAAUGGUAAGUCCUGGUCCAAAACCAAAUAAGACACCCCAUUCAAGUCCUUCUCCAGUUGUCUUCAAUCCGUCUAUGGUUGAUUUCUUUCUCAUUUCAUCUAAGAUAAACAAAACACAUGCACUUGACAUAUUUCCAUAUUCACUGAGCACUUCUCUAGUUGCAUUCAUCUUUUCAGGCUUUAAGGCUAACUUUUGCUCCACUUGAUCUAGAAUUGCAGGUCCACCGGGAUGUGCAAUCCAAAAGAUUGAGUUGUAAUCAGAAAUUCCCAAUGGCUCGAAAGCCUCAACCAAUGCUUUAGUGAUGUUCUUUGAAACAAUCCCAGGAACAUCUUUAAGAAGGUGAAAUGUUAGUCCAGCUUCACGAAGGUGGCCAUCAAUGGCUCCUUCACUAUCCGGAGCAAUUGUUUGUGCAGUCCAAACCAUCUCAAAUAUAGGUUUCUCAAUUUCUGGUACUGGGUCAGAACCAACAAUAAGAGCAGCAGCUCCAUCUCCAAACAGUGCUUGCCCAACAAGGCUGUCCAAGUGAGUAUCACUGGGGCCACGGAAUGUGACAGCGGUGACUUCAGAACAAACAACCAACACACGAGCACCUUUGUUGUUCUCAGCCAAAUCUUUGGCCAAACGAAGCACCGUGCCACCUGCAAAACACCCUUGUUGGUACAUCAUAUACCUUUUCACAUAUGGACGAAGACCCAAGAGUUUUGUGAGUUGAUAAUCGGCUCCAGGCAUGUCUACACCACUUGUGGUGCAAACGAUUAAGUGAGUAAUCUUUGACUUUGGUUGACCCCAUUCUUUUAUAGCCUUCACUGCAGCCUCCUUUCCUAGUCUAGGUACCUCUACCACCACCAUGUCUUGCCUAGCAUCCAAUGAAGGGGCCAUGUAUUCACAAACACUUGGAUUUUCUUUCAAAAUUUCUUCUGUUAGAUACAUGUAUCUCCUCUUGAUCAUGGAUUUAUCACCUGAAGUAGUUAUAAUGGAAUGACAUUAGCACAUCAGUUUUUGGGUAAUAUAUACCAAAACCAAUCACAUAAUGACCAAGAUAAAUGUAAACGAAAAGUAUCUAAAAAUAUUUUUAUACUCAAGUUUAUCAAAAUAAUAAAUAGAGGAGAAGAAUACUUACACAUGCGCUGAAAUUUCUCUUUGAGUUCAGUUUUGUGUUCACUAUUUGUAAUUUUAAAGUAAAAAUCAGGAUAAGUGCUUUGUUCAACACAAUUUGCUGGAUUUGCAGUGCCAAUGGCUAAGAUAGUUGCAGGACCUUCUGCCCUUUGAGCUUUACGAAUUUCAGACACACUCACCAUUUUGAUAUCUUUGGUAUCAAAUAAAAAUAAAAUGUAGUACUGAAAUUUGAAGACAAUGAGGUUUAGUGCUUGUUGUAGAAAAGAAAAGGGUUGAAGUGUGUUGUGGUGCAGAAAUGUUUGGGAUGAGAUGGUUUUUAUAUGAAGAGAGUAGUGUGCAUAUUGGAGGGUAGCUGAACAUAACAUCACGUGUUUGACUAAAACUCUUAACAUCAUGCAAAUUUUAUUUUAUAUUCAAUAUAAACGUCGGGUACCAAUAAUAUAUAUAAUGGCUGGCUGGCUGCUUUGUCCAUACUUGACCCUGUUGGUGUUUGGUGGGAAAUACCCCGCAUUUCUUUGAAGAGAGAGACUACCAACAAUCUUUUAUUUGAUUUGAUUUGAUUAAGUUAGAUUGGAGAAGUCUCUUUUCUGUGUGAUUGAGUGAUAAAAGUCUAUUUCUUGUAUGAGAGCAAUAUAAGUCUCUUGAGCAAAUUGUAAUAUAUGAGAUUUAUAGUGAACAUCCCUUAGAAGUGCAAGGGGACUGGACUACUCUCGAUUUGUGGGAGGAACUAGUAUAAUUGUUUUCUGUCUUCUCUCUAUGUGUUUGAUUUCAUUUCGCUGCAUUCAACUGUUUCAUUGAACAAAACUCUGUUUUGCUUCAGACUCUGAACUAGUUUUUACAAACACUUAGGAGAUUUUGAAAAAACCAACACAAUUCAACUCACUUUUCCUAUAAUUUUCUCACCUUCAGUUGGCAUCAAAGCGUAUGGCUUGUUGCUUUGCACUUAACUGUGUCAUAGAAAAGAUCAUGAGAAAAACAUGUCUGCAAAAUCUAGUUCAAAUGUUUUUGGUAAUGUUGAUAAUCAUGUUGUUCGUCAUGAUUACAACAAUAAUGCGUCCGCCUCUGAUAAAAAUUCAUAUUCUGCCAGACCUUCGAUCUUCAAUGGAGAUGCUGCACAAUUUUCAUGGUGGAAAAGUAAAAUGUAUAAUCACAUCAUCGGUCUUGAUGAUGAGUUGUGGGACAUCACGGAGAAUUAAUGGUGUCAAAGCUCAACUUCAUCCUCUUUAGACAUUAGACAUGUGGAAGAGUUAGAAGUUUCUUGAGGUACCCACAAGUAACAAUUGUCCUUAGACCUUACUCCUCUCAUCAGAACAUCAUUCUUUUCAUCAGUAAUGAAGCACUCUGACUUGGUAAGUUUACUUUUAAUCCUUGAUCACACAAUUGGCUGAUGCUGAUCAAAUUAGUUGUCAAACCUUUUACCAAAAGAACAUCAUCAAGUCUGGGAAGUCUAGUACAAAACAGCUUUUCAACUCCCUUGAUUUCACCUUUAGCUCCAUCACCAAAAGUGAUAAAACUGGUGGAAUACGAGUUAAUGUCCACUAGAUACUUCUUGACCCUAGUCAUGUGUUUAGAACAUCCACUUUCAAAAUAUCAGUUUUCUCUAGACGAUACUCUAAGAGAUGUCUCGGCAAUGAGACUAGUAUUGACAACCUUCGGUUUCCACUCUUUUCUAGUCUUACUCAUCACAUGGUUAUCUAUGGGUUGUGUAGGAUAUUUAUGGUAGCCAUACAAUCUAAAACAGCAUGAUUUUUUAUGACCAUAUCUACCAUAAUAAUGACACUUCCAAGGUAAGAAUUUCGCUUUGUAUGGAUGUUUGUAAGGAUGUUGGGACAUUUUGCCUGACAUUGUGGUUUCAUACUCUUUUUCAGAAGGAAUAAAUUUUGUAACAGGAAUUUUUCCUUGUUUAUUUAAAGAUUGAUAAUUAAAUCAUAUUCCUUUUACAUUGCCAGCCCUUUUUCCUAGUAGAAGAAUUUCAUCUAGCAUAUUAAACCCAUUGUUCAAUAUUCUUAUAGAUUUGGUCAUGUUCUCAAGUUUGGAAGACACCAGAUUUACCUCAUUUUGAAUAUCAAGGAUAGUAGAAAGUAAUUUUACCUUUUCAGCCUGCAGUUAGCUAUGGUUCUCUUCUGGUUUAUACCUCUUCACUUCUAGCAUAAACUCUUUGUAGGAAUCAGCCAAUUCCUCGUAGGAAACAUCCUCAUCACAAGAGUCUACAUCUGAUUCACAUCUUGUAGUGAGGGUUGUGACAUGCUUUUCAGUUUCACCAUCUGAUUCUCCUUCAGACCCAUCAUCAUCAGACCAGGAGACAAAAUAACCUUUCUUUUGUCUCUUGAGAUACGUAGUGCAUUUAUAACAAAUGUGACCAAAUCCUUCACAACAAUUACACUGAACUCCUUUUCCUUGGUUGGGUUGUUCUUCAGUUUUAACCUUCUACUGAGAGUCACUGUUUUUGCUGAUGUCGAAUGGGAUGUUCUUGACAUUAGGUCUAGGUCUUCUAUACAUUCUCUAUAAAACCAUAUUGAAUUGUCUCCCAAGAAGCACAAUAGCAUUAGAAAUACCUUCAUCAGUUUCCAGAUCAUAUUGAACUUGUUCAUCAUUUGUGUUGGAGAUAAAAACAAUGAUCUUGUUUUUCUUUUCCGGCAUGUCACUAAUAGUCAUUUUCGGAUGAAAUAUAGUUUAAUUGUUUAAGCUGUUUAAUAAGGACAAAAAUGUUCUGAAGAAUGAUUAUAUAAUUAAUAUAUAAGUAGAAUGAGAAAAAUGAUAUUAACCUGAAAUGUAAAGACUAUUUUAACUAGGACCAGAAUAUUUCGGAUAGUGAUUAAUAUAAAAGUAGAAUGAUCAAGAAAUAAUAUAUUGUUGACUUUCAGCGUGAGUUUGUCUUUAGAUAUUAAGCACUUAUUUUAUCUUGGACCAAAAUGUUAUGGAUGCAGUUGUAUAGUUAAUAUUGAAUGAAAUAAUAAAACAAUAUUAAUGAUUAUAUUUCGGAUCAGAGAACUCUGGAUUAAUUUGAUUGUGUUUAAUUAGGACCAAAAUAUUCUUUAAUAGAUUAAUAACAACUAUUAUAAUCGUGAUAAUGUGUGUAAAGUGUGACCUAAAUAAUAAGAGAAAGGGAAGAAAGAAUAACACAAGAGAUUUCCCAUGGUCACUUCUGAUCUUGACAAUAACAGUUUCCUUCUCUCUUUAAAGUCUUUGACAAAGAUCUUUAAAAACCUCAAAAGUAUCAGAUUUUUCUUUGAUAAAGUUCACCCAAGUAAAUCUUGAGAAAUUAUCAACAAUGACAUAUUCAUAUCUUUUUCCACCAAGACUUUCAACUUGCAUAGGCUCCAUCAGAUCCAUAUGAAGAAGUUCAAGUACUUUGGAAGUGGUCUAAUGUUGUAACUUUGGAUGUGACAUCAUGGUUUGUUUCCCAAUUUGACAUUCACCACAUACUUUUCCUUCUUCAAUUUUACACUUUGGUAAACCUCUAAUAGCCUCUUCAGAAAUAGUCUUCUUCAUACCCUUAAGCUUCAGAUGACCAAGCUUCUGGUGUCAAAGCUCAACUUCAUCCUCUUUAGACAUUAGACAUGUGGAAGAGUUAGAAGUUUCUUGAGGUACCCACAACUAACAAUUGUCCUUAGACCUUACUCCUCUCAUUAGAACAUCAUUCUUUUCAUCAGUAAUUAAGCACUCUGACUUGGUAAGUUUACUUUUAGUCCUUGAUCACACAAUUGACUGAUGCUGAUCAAAUUAGGUAUCAAACCUUUUACCAAAAGAACAUCAUCAAGUCUGGGAAGUCCAGUACAAAACAGCUUUUCAACUCCCUUGAUUUCACCUUUAGCUCCAUCACCAAAAGUGAUAAAACUGGUGGAAUACGAGUUAAUGUCCACUAGAUACUUCUUGACCCUAGUCAUGUGUGUAGAACAUCCACUUUCAAAAUAUCAGUUUUCUCUAGACGAUACUCUAAGAGAUGUCUGGGCAAUGAGACUAGUAUUGACAACCUUCGGUUUCCACUCUUUUCUAGUUUUACUCAUCACAUGGUUAUUGUAACGCCCUCUUUGAAUUAUUUGUUUUAUUUGAUUAUUUUUAAUGAGUUUAGAAUAUAUUUAAAUGAUUAUGUGAUUUAUUAAGUAGCUUAUUUUAGUAUUUAAUAGAAUAAGAUUUGAAAAUAAAAUAAAUAUUGAGAUGUGAGGCUGUUUUGGAAUUUAGAGGAGUUUAGUGGAAAUAGAGGAAAUAAGAAAAAUAGAAUGAGGAGAGAUAUAAGAAGAAAACUAGGUUUAGAAACGUUUUUACGUGAAAUUGCUUUUUGGAGAAAAAGGGAGAAAACAAGAGAAGAGGAGAACCAAGAGAGAGAAGCCGCCGAUCAUUCAUUCUAAGGUAAGGGUGGGACUAACAUUCAAUAAUCUUGAGUCUAUGAUUCUGAAAAUUGUAUUUAACAUGUUGUAGGUUUAGUUUUUGAGAAUUUGAGAAUUAGGGUUAAGAGUGAUGAUUGUGAUGAUUUUGAAUGAAAGUGUAGGAUUGAAUUAGAGAAGUUGGGAAUUAGGGUUAGAAUGUAGAAUUGAAUUGUGGAAAGAAGUAGAUAAUCUGAUGGAUUAGGGUGAUAAAGGAUGUUUAGAUUGUAGAUUAAUCACAGACUAAGUUUCCAAUCAGUAUUGGGGUUUGAGUCGAUGGAAAUUGCGAUAUUUUGUGGCUAUUUUCUAUUCCUUUACGUAUUGUUUAUAUUUUAAUAAGGCAUGCGUGCCAAAGACUUAUUUAUGUUAAUGAAUUUAAUCCGCUGCAAAGUUUGAAUUAAUAUGUUGAUGAUUUUUGGAAAGAUAAUUAGUUAAUUACCUCAUUUAUGAUUUUUAAGAAGUGUGAUAUCCUGUUUAUGUGAUGUUUUACUCUGAUUAUUUUAUGAAAUUUUUAUGUUGGGAAAACGGGGUGUUACAAUUGGUAUCAGAGCAGGUCGGUCCGUCUGGCCAAGUAGUUGAGUCGAGUUGUGUCGAGUAACAGUUGUAUUAUUAUCUUUAUGCUGUUUGAUUACUUGUUGUUGUGUUUCUGAUUAAUGGUUAUGUUUAUUAUGUGAUCAUGUUUGAUUGACUAACUUUAAUGUGGUUUAUAUGUUUUGUUUGAGGUUUCUAUUUGGCUAUAUAUUGUUUAAGAUAUUUAGGCAAUGAUUGAAUUCUUUUCUUGUGUGCUUUGAAUUUCGAGGACGAAAUUCUUUUAAGGGGGGUAGAGUUGUAACGCCCUCUUUGAAUUAUUUGUUUUAUUUGAUUAUUUUUAAUGAGUUUAGAAUAUAUUUAAAUGAUUAUGUGAUUUAUUAAGUGGCUUAUUUUAGUAUUUAAUAGAAUAAGAUUUGAAAAUAAAAUAAAUAUUGAGAUGUGAGGCUAUUUUGGAAUUUAGAGGAGUUUAGUGGAAAUAGAGGAAAUAAGAAAAAUAGAAUGAGGAGAGAUAUAUGAAGAAAAUUAGGUUUAGAAACGUUUUUACGUGAAAUUGCUUUUUGGAGAAAAAGGGAGAAAACAAGAGAAGAGGAGAACCAAGAGAGAGAAGCCGCCGAUCAUUCAUUCUAAGGUAAGGGUGGGACUAACAUUCAAUAAUCUUGAGUCUAUGAUUCUGAAAAUUGUAAUUAACAUGUUGUAGGUUUAGUUUUUGAGAAUUUGAGAAUUAGGGUUAAGAGUGAUGAUUGUGAUGAUUUUGAAUGAAAGUGUAGGAUUGAAUUAGAGAAGUUGGGAAUUAGGGUUAGAAUGUAGAAUUGAAUUGUGGAAAGAAGUAGAUAAUCUGAUGGAUUAGGGUGAUAAAGGAUGUUUAGAUUGUAGAUUAAUCACAGACUAAGUUUCCAAUCAGUCUUGGGGUUUGAGUCGAUGGAAAUUGGGAUAUUUUGUGGCUAUUUUCUAUUCAUUUACGUAUUGUUUAUAUUUUAAUAAGGCCUGCGUGCCAAAGACUUAUUUAUGUUAAUGAAUUUAAUCCGCUGCAAAGUUUGAAUUAAUAUGUUGAUGAUUUUUGAAAAGAUAAUUAGUUAAUUACCUCAUUUAUGAUUUUUAAGAAGUGUGAUAUCCCGUUUAUGUGAUGUUUUACUCUGAUUAUUUUAUGAAAUUUUUAUGUUGGGAAAACGGGGUGUUACAAUUGGUAUCAGAGCAGGUCGGUCCGUCUGGCCAAGUAGUUGAGUCGAGUUGUGUCGAGUAACAGUUGUAUUAUUAUCUUUAUGCUGUUUGAUUACUUGUUGUUGUGUUUCUGAUUAAUGGUUAUGUUUAUUAUGUGAUCAUGUUUGAUUGACUAACUUUAAUGUGGUUUAUAUGUUUUGUUUGAGGUUUCUAUUUGGCUAUAUAUUGUUUAAGAUAUUUAGGCAAUGAUUGAAUUCUUUUCUUGUGUGCUUUGAAUUUCGAGGACGAAAUUCUUUUAAGGGGGGUAGAGUUGUAACGCCCUCUUUGAAUUAUUUGUUUUAUUUGAUUAUUUUUAAUGAGUUUAGAAUAUAUUUAAAUGAUUAUGUGAUUUAUUAAGUGGCUUAUUUUAGUAUUUAAUAGAAUAAGAUUUGAAAAUAAAAUAAAUAUUGAGAUGUGAGGCUAUUUUGGAAUUUAGAGGAGUUUAGUGGAAAUAGAGGAAAUAAGAAAAAUAGAAUGAGGAGAGAUAUAUGAAGAAAAUUAGGUUUAGAAACGUUUUUACGUGAAAUUGCUUUUUGGAGAAAAAGGGAGAAAACAAGAGAAGAGGAGAACCAAGAGAGAGAAGCCGCCGAUCAUUCAUUCUAAGGUAAGGGUGGGACUAACAUUCAAUAAUCUUGAGUCUAUGAUUCUGAAAAUUGUAAUUAACAUGUUGUAGGUUUAGUUUUUGAGAAUUUGAGAAUUAGGGUUAAGAGUGAUGAUUGUGAUGAUUUUGAAUGAAAGUGUAGGAUUGAAUUAGAGAAGUUGGGAAUUAGGGUUAGAAUGUAGAAUUGAAUUGUGGAAAGAAGUAGAUAAUCUGAUGGAUUAGGGUGAUAAAGGAUGUUUAGAUUGUAGAUUAAUCACAGACUAAGUUUCCAAUCAGUCUUGGGGUUUGAGUCGAUGGAAAUUGGGAUAUUUUGUGGCUAUUUUCUAUUCAUUUACGUAUUGUUUAUAUUUUAAUAAGGCCUGCGUGCCAAAGACUUAUUUAUGUUAAUGAAUUUAAUCCGCUGCAAAGUUUGAAUUAAUAUGUUGAUGAUUUUUGAAAAGAUAAUUAGUUAAUUACCUCAUUUAUGAUUUUUAAGAAGUGUGAUAUCCCGUUUAUGUGAUGUUUUACUCUGAUUAUUUUAUGAAAUUUUUAUGUUGGGAAAACUGGGUGUUACAGUUAUCUAUGGGUUGUGUAGGAUGUUUAUGGUAGCCAUACAAUCUAAAACAGCAUGAUUUUUUAUGACCAUAUCUACCAUAAUAAUGACACUUCCAAGGUAAGAAUUUCGCUUUGUAUGGAUGUUUGUAAGGAUGUUGGGACAUUUUUCCUGACAUUGUGGUUUCAUACUCUUUUUCAGAAGGAAUAAAUUUUGUAACAGGAAUUUUUCCUUGUUUAUUUAAAGAUUGAUAAUUAAAUCAUAUUCCUUUUACAUUGCCAGCCCUUUUUCCUAGUAGAAGAAUUUCAUCUAGCAUAUUAAACCCAUUGUUCAAUAUUCUAAUAGAUUUGGUCAUGUUCUCAAGUUUGGAAGACACCAGAUUUACCUCAUUUUGAAUAUCAAGGAUAGUAGAAAGUAAUUUUACCUUUUCAGCAUGCAGUUAGCUAUGGUUCUCUUCUGGUUUAUACCUCUUCACUUCUAGCACAAACUCUUUGUAGGAAUCAGCCAAUUCCUCAUAGGAAACAUCCUCAUCACAAGAGUCUACAUCUGAUUCACAUCUUGUAGUGAGGGUUGUGACAUGCUUUUCAGUUUCACCAUCUGGUUCUCCUUCAGACUCAUCAUCAUCAGACCAGGAGACAAAAUAACCUUUCUUUUGUCUCUUGAGAUACGUAGUGCAUUUAUAACAAAUGUGACCAAAUCCUUCACAACAAUUACACUGAACUCCUUUUCCUUGGUUGGGUUGUUCUUCAGUUUUAGCCUUCUGCUGAGAGUCACUGUUUUUGCUGAUGUCGAAUGGGAUGUUCUUGACAUUAGGUCUAGGUCUUCUAUACAUUUUCUAUAAAACCAUAUUGAAUUGUCUCCUAAGAAGCACAAUAGCAUUAGAAAUACCUUCAUCAGUUUCCAGGUCAUAUUGAACUUGUUCAUCAUUUGUGUUGGAGAUAAAAACAAUGAUCUUGUUCUUCUUUUCUGGCAUGUCACUAAUAGUCAUUUCAAAAGUUUGAAGUGACCCAAUAAACUCUUUAACCUUCAUGUUUUUAAUGUCUUGGGUUUCUUCAAUGGCAGUCACCUUCAUAUCGAAUUUUUUAGGUAAAGAUCUGAGAAUUUAUCUGACCAACUUUUCUUUUGUCAUCUUUUCUCCUAGAGCACUAGAAGCAUUGACAAUGUCAAGAAUGUUCACGUGAAGGUGCUGGAUAGAUUCAUCAUCUUUCAUCCUAAGAUUUUCAAACUUGGUGGUUAGAAAUUGCAGCUUUGACAUCCUCACUUUAGAUGUGCCUUCAUGAGUAGUUCUCAAGAUAUCCAAAGCAUUAUUGACCACAGUACAAUUAUUUAUUAACCUGAACAUAUUCUUAUCCACCCCACUGAACAAUGCGUUCAAGGCUUUGGAGUUUCUAAGAGCAAGUUCAUAUUCAUCCUUAACCACUCUUCUUCGGGUUUUAACUUAGUAGUGUCAUUUCCAUCUUUGUCCUUUACCAAUGGAUGUUCCCAACCUUUGAGAACUGUGUUCCAGGUUUUGCUGUCAAUAGAUUUAAGGAAUGCAACCAUGUGCACUUUCUAGUAGACAUAGUUGGACCAUUCCAAAACAGGUGGUUUGUUAACUUGUCAUCCUUCCUUUUCCAUAGUAUCAGAAAAUAUCUUACAUGGAGGUCACCCAUAAACAGAACAGGGUGCCUGCUCUGAUGCCAAUUGAAAUUAUUGCAUGUAAAGAAAGAUGUCGAACAUGAUGUCAGAACAAGCAGAAUGUCGAGAAGGAUGUCAAGACAUUGUGACAACAUAAGAUAACAAAUAACAACUUAAAGAUAAAAGCUGAAAGUAAAUGGCACAAGUUAUUCGUUAACCCAGUUUGGUACAACAUCGCCUAGAUCUAGGGGCUACCAAGCCAGGAAGGAAAUCCACUAUAAUAGUAUUAUUUUGAAGCAUGCAUAAACAACCUCAAGAUUACUAGCUUCGCACCUAAUCACUACCCGUGAAAUUUCUAUCUAAGAAUCGCCUAGAUACGAGACCCCUCUCACUUCCCCUCAAUUACUCACCGGUGAUAACAACAAGAACAAUAGAAAUGGAGACACGCUCCGUGAAACAGAAUCUACUCUUUCUUAAAAGCUUAUAAGUGAUUCACAACUUACAACUCAACUACAUGUCCAACUCAAGCAUCAAGGUGAUACGUGAGUGGCUCACAAAAAACAAAGGACAGACUAAAACUCUAAUUGACUCUUUUGUAAAUGACGGCUUCAAUGGUCUUCUUAGGUCUUGAGUCUUCCUUUAUAUAACCUGAAUACAUAAUGGGCUUAAUGAGCAAAUUGGGCUAAACACACAGUUGAUCCAAUGGGGUACUUAACAUAAUAUUCUUGAAGCAUAUAUAUUGUUUCCUUAAAUGUUACAACAUCACACUUAAGAAACACAACAAGCUUAAAUCGCCUAUCACUGCUUCUAGAAAACACACGCUUCUUGGUCAACACUCCAUGUGAAUAAAAUUUUCAUUGAAUCUUCAGAGAUCUCACGCAUAAAAUAAAACUUAUAAGAAAGCGAAACAAGGUACGCAAGGAUGUCUUACCAACAUGUCAAGACAUCUUGUCCAACAUCUUGCUAGAACACUUGUUUUAAGAAAAUGCGGCCAACUAUAGUCUACAAACCUAACAAUUAUUUCACCACAAGAUUCAUGAAAGUAGAGGAAAAUUAUGCAACUUAUAACCACACAAUUGCUCAUAAAUUCCAUACGGUGAAAAUAAUAUUCCCCCUUACCUCUUAUCUUCCAAAGCUAGCUCCUACAAUCUUGAAUCUCCCUCUCCCCUUUGAUUUUUCAAGCUCUCAUCUUCUUUCUCUCUAGAUCCCUUUUUCUUCUCAAUCCCUUGCCUCUAUUCUCUCUCCUUGCCUCUUUCUCAAAACUUAACAAAUGAUUUUCUAAUCCAAAAUCAUGAAAACUACCAUUUAUUUAUAUUCACUUGUUUUGGGUUUAGUUCUCUUAACUUUUAUUGGGCUUAGUCUCUAUUCAUUCCUCAUAAAAAUAAUAUUACACAUUUAUUUCACUUAAACCGCUCUUUUACUCCUACACCUCUAUUCAUUUAAUUCCUAAAAGUUACUACUAAAUUCACAAAAAUACCCUCCAUUCCUAAAUUACCAAAAUACCCCUUUACCCUUGAAUCUCUAAUAAAAAUCAACUAACACAUCAAUUAAACAAUUAAAUUUUAAAUAAUUAAAAUAAUAAUAAACUAAAAAUCAGGAUGUUACACCUUCUAUCAGUGAGUGAUGAAAAAUGGCUUUGGCAUAAGCGUUUAAGACAUUAUGGUUGAAGAUUAAUCUCUAAACUCAUCAAGUUAAAACUUGUCAAAGAUCUGUCAAAAUUAAAAUAUCACUUAAAUGCUCUCUGUGGAGCAUGGCAAAAAGGGAAGAUUGCUAAAACUUCUUUCAAAACAAAGAAUAUUGUUUCAACCUCUAGUCCCUGGAAACUUCUUCACGUUGAUCAUUUUAGACUAAUAAGUACUACAUCCAUCAAUGGGAAGAAAUAUAGAUUAUUCAUAGUUGAUGAUUGCAGUAGAUGGAUUUGAGUCAACUUCCUCGAAACUAAAGAUGAAGCAUAUGAUGUGUUUAGUAACUUCUGCACUUGGGUACAAAAUGAAAAGAAUUGAAAAUUCUAAAAGUCAUAAGUAAUCAUGGUCGAAAAUUUGAAAAUGAGUCAUUUGAUUUUUUUUGUGAAAAACAUGGAAUUCUCCCUGAAUUCUUGUAUCCUAGAACUCCACACAAAUUAUAGAUUUAUAAAGAGAAAGAAUAUGUCUUUACAAAAUAUAAUUAGAACCAUGAUUCACGAAACUGAUAUGACUACGUUUGGGCAGAAGUUGUAAACAUAUCAUGUUAUGUUCAGAAUAGAAUCUAUAUCAAACCUAUAGUAAACAAAACAUCAUAUGAACUCUUCAAAGGAAGAAGAUCAAACAUAUCUUAUUUUUAUAAAUUUGGAUGUACAUGUUACAUCUUGAACAACAAAGUCUAUCUAAAGAAAUUUGAUGUCAAAGCUCAGAACGGUAUUUUAUUAGGAUACUUUGAAUGCUCAAAGAUAUACAAAGUGUAUAAUUUUAAACUAAUACAGUUGAAAUUGGAAGGAGAACUACUAAACCACAAUAGGACAAAACAUAAUCGGCCAAAAUAAAAAUAAGGAGUCAAAUCGCACAAUCGCGAUAUUUAAAGACUAAAAAAUACAAUACAUUUGGGUUGGUCUAAUGGUGACGUAGGACUUUGGAAUACACUCCUCUCAAUAUCUCAUAUUAGAGUCUCUCUAAUGUUAAUGUCGGUGGAAUAAUUUGGGUUCUUAUAGAAGGAAAAAAAAAAAAACUAAAAAGUGCAAUUAAGCUAAUGAGAUAUUUGACAAUUAGUUUAUGAAAGAAAUGAAAAAAGGGUUGGACAAAAGAGGAUCUUCAAAGACACGCGGGGUAUUUCCCACCAAACUCCAACAGGGUCAAGUAAUGGACAAAGCAGCCAGCCAGCCAGCCAUUAUAUGUAUUAUUGGUACCCGACGUUUAUAUUGAAUAUAAAAUAAAAUUUGCAUGAUGUUAAGAGUUUUAGUCAAACACAUGAUGUUCAGCUACCCUCCAAUAUGCACACUACUCUCUUCAUAUAAAAACCAUCUCAUCCCAAACAUUUCUGCACCACAACACACUUCAACCCUUUUCUUUUCUACAACAAGCACUAAACCUCAUUGUCUUCAAAUUUCAGUACUACAUUUUAUUUUUAUUUGAUACCAAAGAUAUCAAAAUGGUGAGUGUGUCUGAAAUUCGUAAAGCUCAAAGGGCAGAAGGUCCUGCAACUAUCUUAGCCAUUGGCACUGCAAAUCCAGCAAAUUGUGUUGAACAAAGCACUUAUCCUGAUUUUUACUUUAAAAUUACAAAUAGUGAACACAAAACUGAACUCAAAGAGAAAUUUCAGCGCAUGUGUAAGUAUUCUUCUCCUCUAUUUAUUAUUUUGAUAAACUUGAGUAUAAAAAUAUUUUUAGAUACUUUUCGUUUACAUUUAUCUUGGUCAUUAUGUGAUUGGUUUUGGUAUAUAUUACCCAAAAACUGAUGUGCUAAUGUCAUUCCAUUAUAACUACUUCAGGUGAUAAAUCCAUGAUCAAGAGGAGAUACAUGUAUCUAACAGAAGAAAUUUUGAAAGAAAAUCCUAGUGUUUGUGAAUACAUGGCCCCUUCAUUGGAUGCUAGGCAAGACAUGGUGGUGGUAGAGGUACCUAGACUAGGAAAGGAGGCUGCAGUGAAGGCUAUAAAAGAAUGGGGUCAACCAAAGUCAAAGAUUACUCACUUAAUCGUUUGCACCACAAGUGGUGUAGACAUGCCCGAAGCUGAUUAUCAACUCACCAAACUCUUGGGUCUUCGCCCAUAUGUGAAAAGGUACAUGAUGUACCAACAAGGGUGUUUUGCAGGUGGCACGGUGCUUCGUUUGGCCAAAGAUCUAGCUGAGAACAACAAAGGUGCUCGUGUGUUGGUUGUAUGUUCAGAGGUCACCGCUGUCACAUUUCGUGGCCCUAGUGAUACUCACUUGGACAGUCUUGUUGGACAAGCACUAUUUGGAGAUGGAGCUGCUGCUCUUAUUGUUGGCUCUGACCCCGUACCAGAAAUUGAGAAACCUAUAUUUGAGAUGGUUUGGACUGCACAAACAAUUGCUCCUGAUAGUGAAGGAGCCAUUGAUGGUCACCUUCGUGAAGCUGGACUAACAUUUCACCUUCUUAAAGAUGUUCCUGGGAUUGUUUCAAAGAACAUUACUAAAGCAUUGGUUGACGCUUUUGAGCCACUGGGAAUUUCUGAUUACAACUCAAUCUUUUGGAUUGCACAUCCCGGUGGACCUGCAAUUCUAGAUCAAGUAGAGCAAAAGUUAUCAUUGAAGCCUGAAAAGAUGAAUGCAACUAGAGAAGUGCUCAGUGAAUAUGGAAAUAUGUCAAGUGCAUGUGUUUUGUUUAUCUUAGAUGAAAUGAGAAAGAAAUCAACUAAAGAUGGGUUGAAGACAACUGGAGAAGGACUUGAAUGGGGUGUGUUAUUUGGUUUUGGACCAGGACUUACAAUUGAAACGGUUGUUUUGCGCAGUGUCGCUAUAUGAGAUGCUUAAUUAUUUUGUUUUCAUGUAUCAAUUUUCAAUUUGUUUAAUUUUUACGUAAGGAUGAAAUUUCAUCUAGUGUUCAACAUGUACCCUCAUAUUAAAUAAUACACUUGUGAUUCACUUUAUAUUUUUACAAUAGUUAUUUAUUUGACUAAAACUCUGUUUGGUAAAAAUAGCGUCUAACCAAUUAUGAAAGUCACAAUAAUGCCUCUUGAUUUCCUCGGAAAAUCUUACAGCCCACCAUUAAGGAAGAAAAGAAUAAUUAGGAUCUAAUUAUUUUAGCUUUAAACUCAAUCCCCAAAUGGCCUAACCCUAAUUCCCUUAGGACUUGUUUUAUUCAAUUUCUUAAAACUAUACAUACUUUAAUUAACUUAUGAUACAUGCAAAAAUAUUUCCAUAAAAUUUCUAAAAUAAACGAAAAAUAAUUGAAAUUUCCUCUAAGUUCUAUUUAAGAAAAUUUCACCAGAGUUUUUCAUGUUUUUACAAGUGUCCAGAAAAAGGUUUUCAAAUUUUUUUCUCAAAAUUAAACGUAGACGUAAUUUUAACUGAAGUCGUUUCCAUUGCUAAAUUGGUGCCAAAAAUUCAGAUAUUCUCGAAACUCAUUGGGAAUUUUUUUUUUCUCUUUAAAACAUCACACACCUAAUCAUAUGGAAAAAAUAAAUUUGCCAUCAAAUUGCAAGUUUAUCCUUUCACUUGAAAAUUUUCUUCUUUUACAAUUUUAUUUGCACACACAUAAACAUACAUAACAAAAUCACUAUUUUUGUAAAAUUCAUAAUUCAAUGAAUUUGUGUUCGAAUACCAUGAAUCAUAGGUCCAUUUUAAAGGUUUCAACAAAGGAAAUUUGAAAGAAAAAAAAAAUCCUCCUACCAAAGACAUAGGCUUCACGACCAAAAUAAAAAGGAAGGAAAAAAAAAAUUUGAGUUCAAAGUUCAUAUUCCUAAAUACAAGAAAACAAUCAUGGUGAAUCAAAUAAUCAAGAUCAAACAAAAUUCUCCAAUGAAUAAAAUCAAGUUCAAGUCUCAUUUUUCUUCAAAAGUUGUCAAAAUAAAUGUUUUGACAAGAAAAAUUUGAAGUUUUGACGAACAUCAAAAUAACAACUUAUCAAAAAUUAAACUUUUUACAUAAGUAUGAUCACAAUCUCUUGAUCUAUCAUCUAAAAUAAGUAAAAUUUGAAAAUCAAACUCUUUCAACAAAAAAGAAAUCAAACUUGAAAAGUCAUUUUAACUUAGAAUAUUUUCACCACUUCAUCAAAAUCUAUUUUUCUAGCAAAACCACUAAGAGGUUUUUCCUUCACAAACCAUAAAAUAAAUUUAUCAUAAACUUUAAAAUAAUAACUUUCGUAAAAUUUAGAACUUUUCUAUAAAUCUAUGAUCACUGCGUAUAGAUCUAUCAUUUUAUCAAAGUAAAACUUUGAAAACUCUACCUUAGCCUCACAAAAUUAAUUUGCUCCUAACACACUCUAUUCACAAUAUCAAUCUCACAUUUUAGCAUGUACUCUAUUUCUUCCACCCCAAGGCACCAUUUCCUUGCUUAAUUUGCUCGCGGAUGAAUUUUACGGUAGUUGUAACUUCCGUGAUAAAUUACCGAUAAAAUUUCUUCAUCCUUUUUGUGUAUAAAAUUUUAUUCAACCAUUUUUUUUUAUCUUUCAAAAAUUAUAAUGAAAUUGAAUUCUCAUUACACUCUAGAUUGAAUUCUCAUUAUACUCAAUGUUUAAAAUCCUGGUUUAAAGUUUGACAACAAUGGGAGUUUGACAAAAUCUAAACAUCACAAAUCUUUUGUCUGUUUUGUCAAAAUUUAACAAAAUAAAUAAUUUUAAGGCUUUCCAGCAUCCAGCGCAUAAAUUCACUCUUAACAUAGUCAUAUACGUCCAAACAAAUUUUUUAAAGCCAAAUAGCAGUGCACAUGUAGACUACAAGAAAAUAUGUGAUUUGCUACGACAAUAUUUGUAGCUAAUUUGGAAUAAACGUUUUAGCUAGAAAUUUUAUAGGCAAUUAUUUCCUCGUAAAACCGUAGUUAAAAGAAAUUUAUUCCUAGCAAAUCCUUUGUUAAUCAACAUCAAACUAGUGUUCAAAAUGUAUUAUCCGUAGCAAUAUAACUAUGAUUUAUCAUAGCAAAUACGCAACAAAGCUGUAGCAGUAAUACGAAGGACUUUACAUAGUAAUUUCUUAGCAAAUCUACAACAAUAAAACUAUGCAAUAAUCAUAACAAUUCCAUACCAAAUCUACAGAUAAAAUUUAACUUCAAAAUUUUAAUUAGAGUUAGCAAUUAGGAGAUUUUCACCUAAUUUUUUUAAAGAAAUAAAUAUAUUUAAAUCACUACCAACAUAUAUUGACAUCAAUCUAAGUCGACCAAAGCUUACUAAUAAGUAUACAAAUCCAAAAAUUCAUAUCAACUAAGAAAAGAAAGGAUAAGUUAUACUAAGUAGUAUAAAUCUUGAAUUGUGAUAAUUUUAUUACAGUGAUGAUCAUGACCGUAAGAUUCAGUGUAAUCAAGGGUGUGGUAAGUCCAUUUCAAUAAAACCAGUGAUGAUACAUCUCAGUUUUCAGGCUGCAAAAGGAAAAUAAAAAAAACAACAAGUUUAACAGGGGAAUGACAUGAAUCUCUUGACAAAGAACUCAAUAGUAUAUGAAAAAAAAAACCACAGCAAAGAAUACUGAUACAUUCUAAAGCAGGAGGCACAAGACUAAGAUCACCAGUUCAUCCAUAAUAACUCAGGCGUCGUGUUCAUUUUAAUUAUUCUAGGCAUUCCUUUCAGGAUUUUAGCACAAAUGUAUCAACCAUUUGCAUUUAUGAAAUAAUCUUUACACGGUUAACACAAACUAACAUGUAUAUAGCAUGCACUUGUUAAUUAUAUGCUCAAUGAGUUAGAUAUAACUAAGGAAUAAUUCCAUCACACAUAUAGAAGACACAUGACACGACUCUAUUAAUUAUCUGCUCAAGGAUCUCUUAAAAAUUGAAAGUGAAACCUCUUUUACGACGGAAGAUUAAACAACAUAACAAUUAGCAUAGAAAAGUAAUGAUGACCUUGACAUGGAGUUGCUACAUUGACUUCCUUGCAGACUUUUUACUUUCUUUGAACUCAUCAACUGCUUGUAGAGCAGCUACAACCAUCCCAUGAGAUUUUUAUUUAUUUCCGUCUUCAAGAAUCAAAAAUAUUGAAGAGCUUCUAAAUUGUUCCUGCAUCAAAAAACACAUUUAGAAGAGAGUGAGUGAGUGAGUGAGAAACAGAAGGAAUAAUAGUAAUUUUACCUUACAAAUGAUCUCACUAUGAAAUCCUCCAAAAAAUAGAAGAUAAUCUUGGGGAAGGUAAUAUGAAUAUUUGUAACGAUGAUCCAUGCACCUCAAUGAUGUUGAUGUCUGCUAUUGUUUUCAAACUAAAGCAUUUCAAAUUGUUGAAUGAAAUAAAUAAAAACUCCAAUUGAGGAGAAAAUGAAGAAUUUCAUAUACUUUAAGGAAGAAAAUGAAGAAUUUCAUAUACUUUAGGACCAAAUUAAACUUCAACCAAUUCAUUAAGCACAAAACCGACUAAAGAAAAGGGAGAAGAAAUAGCACAGUAAAAGUAACUACUAGUACUCACUCACUAGAAUAUACAAUUUCUCUAGAGAUCUUCAUCUUCAUUGUAGUUCCUCUAUAUAUGUCCUCACUAGUGCAACUGAACUUGUUCUCAAUAGCCAGAGCUUUACCAGGUGUAACUUGAUUCAUAUGUAUCCUGAUCUCAUAUCAUCACCAAAUCAAAUACAAAAAUCCAAAAUCAAACACAAAACAAGAAAUAGUCUAUAGUCUCUAUCAUUCUCACAAAAUCAAACACAAACCUAACAAUACACAUGUUAUACGAUGAAGCACAUAUACGAAUACAGACACGAUACAGACAUUGACACGCCGACACCACUUAUAAUUUGAGAAAAUCACAUAAUUGUGAUUAUAUGUGUCAGUGUCAUACAAGAUAGAUGUGCGACACUAGGACACGCCUAAUCCAAGGAGUGUACGUGCUUCAUAGAUAUUAUAUUACAAAAUUCAAAUAAAAAAAAUUAGUUGCUUAAUCAUAAUAGACUUAACAUCAUAUCAUAUUAAUACAAAAAUCCAUGAAAAUUCAAUACCUUAAAUUGCGGCGAAGAAGCGAAAUGAACAAGUGAGAUCGAUUAUGAUGUGAACAAUUCAAAUUGAGAUCGAGAAUCAGUGAGAGUGAUUGUGCAAAUGAGAAUGAUUCUGAUUAUGAGGAACAACGAUUCAAUCGGUUAGGGAUUCUAUGAUGAAGGAUUCUGAUUAGGAAUUCAAUUGAUUUUGUGGAUGAGAGUUUUCAAUGGAUGAAUUCAAGGAAAAACGAUGCAUGACUUUGAUGGAGAAUUAGUUUUCGAUUUCGUGGAUGAGAUUGAUUUUCUAAAUUAAAGUUUUCAAUGAAGAACGAUUAAGGGUUCAACCGCUUUGAAUGAGAAUGAGAUAUUUGUAAUUUUAAGCUAAAAAAGGUAACUACACUAAAAAAUUGUGUAUUCCGGUAAAAACAAGGGUUAAUUUUAAUUGAGAUUUGCUACCAACACAGUUGAUAGUAAAAUAUUGGUAGCAAAUACUACAUUUUCUUGUAGUGGUAAUCUAAAGAAUUUUGUAGUCAACAAACAAAUUAAACGAGAGACAGAUCUUUUAACAACAAACAGACAAUGUAAAAACAAGGGUAUUUUUAAUUGAGAUUUGCUACCAACACAGUUGAUAGUAAAAUAUUUGUAGCAAAUACUACAUUUUCUUGUAGUGGUAAUCUGAUGAAUUUUGUAGUCAACAAACAAAUUAAACGACAGACAGAUCUUUUAACAACAAACAGACAAUUCACAAAACAUAGCAUAAACAUUUUCAUUUUUCAGGGUUUGGAAAAAUAUAAUGAUAUUAUAUCUUCAUCACCGUAAAUGCAUACAAAAGCUUGUUUACAUUUUUAGGUGCUCGCGGUUGUUGAAAUUUGGCUAAAAUAUGGUUUUAGUCCUUGCAAAUAUGUCUCGUUUUAGUUUUAGUCCCUGUAAAAAAAAAAAAUUUGUUUUUGAUCCCUGCAAAAAAUUUUGUUUUUGAAAAUAGUCCCUGGAGGGACUAUUUUCAAAAACAAAAAUUUUUGCAGGGACCUUUUAUAAAACCAAAAUAUUUUGCAGGGACCAAAAACUACAAAAUUGGUUCAGUUAUAAUGUGUCACGUAUGCAAAUCAUCACAAAAGUGGGGUCAGAGACUAUUUUCAAAAACAAAAAAUUUUGCAGGGACCAAAAACAAAUUUUUUUUUUACAGGGACUAAAACCAAAACGAGGUAUAUUUGCAGGGACUAAAACAUAUUUUAGCCUUGAAAUUUUAAACUGAAUGUACAUCUUGUUUGUUUUUCUCAAAAAUCAAUAAAACUAAUUUUAAAAUUUUGACAGUGUCAAGACAUUUCAUAAAAUCAUUUCGCAACACAAAGAAAAUAUCAAAACAACUUUCUUAUAUAUUUCGCAACACAUACGAGAUUUCAGUAAAAUCUACUACCAAUAUGUACUCAAACAAUAAAAAAAGACUAAAACAAAUAAAAAAACUCUAUAAUUAGCCAAUGCUAAACUAUGUGUUUUACAACAUAUAUCUUAAUAAUAUUUUAUAACAAAGUUUUAAAAACUUUAAUUAUUUUAUAUUUUUUAUCUUAAUAUAUAACUAAUGAAAUAUUCGUGCAUUCGCAGGAUUCUUCGACAAUUGUUAGAUAAUGAACAUUGUACCAGAAUUUUGUUAUUUAGUUUAUACUUCCUCUGUCUUAAAAUAAGUGAUUUUUUUAACCGUUGUACACAUGCGAAUGUACAUCUUUGACUUUUAAUAUCUCUAAUUAUGUAUUAGUAAAAAUUAUAAAAUUUUGAUAUUUUAAAAAUAUUUAUCGAGACGAAUCCAACAUCUUACAUGCUGAAAUUUUUUGUUAUAUAUUAAUAAAAAAAAAUAUGAUUGAAGUAUGUUGUAUGAAUACUAUUUGUGGUACUAUAACAAGUAACUUAUUUUGGGCGGGAGGAAUAGUUAGGGUUUGACUAGGGUCAUCAAAGACAUGCUGGGCAUUUCCCACCAAACUCCAACAGGGUCAAGUCAUGGACAACGCAGCCAGCAAUUGUGUGUAUUAUUGAAUUGAAUAUAAGCAUAAUGUUAAAAGUUUGAGUCAAACACGUGAUGUUCAGCUACCCUCUAAUGCACUCUACUCUCAACAUAUAAAACCUUAUCACCACAAACAUAUUUGCACCACAACACUCUUCAACCCUUUCCUUUACUACAACAAGUACUAAAACUCAUUUUGUUCAAAUUUUAGUACUUAUAUUUGCAACUAAAGAUAUCAAAAUGGUGAGUGUGUCUGAAAUUCGUAAUGCUCAAAGAGCAGAAGGUCCUGCAACUAUUUUGGCCAUUGGUACUGCAAAUCCAGCAAAUUGUGUUGAACAAAGCACAUAUCCUGAUUUUUACUUUAAAAUCACAAAUAGUGAACACAAAACUGAACUUAAGGAGAAAUUUCAGCGCAUGUGUAAGUAUUCUUCUCCUCUAUUUAUUAUUAUUUUGAUAUACUUGAGUAUAAAAAUAUUUUUAGAUACUUUACUUUUACAUUUAUUUCUCUAUUAUUUUUUAAAGCGAAUUGGACUAAAUGACACUUUUUUUGGUUCGUUCCUUUUCAAAUAUAUAUAUUCUUAAUAUAUUUUUUUUUUUUUGAAGGAAUGUAUUCUUAAUAUAUGAUCACCAUAGUUAAUUACUUAAAAUACGGUACAUAUGUCAUUAUCUGUAGAAGUCGUGAUAUUCAUAUUGCCUAGCAAAUUGAUAAACAUUAUUUACAUUAAAAGAUCAAUUAUUUUUUCGUCAAAAAAAUAAAUAAAGAGAAUAGUCAUUAUGUGAUUGGUUUUGUAUUAAUUACCCAAAAAUUAAUGUGCUAAUGUCAUUUCAUUAUAACCACUUCAGGUGAUAAAUCUAUGAUCAAGAGGAGAUACAUGUAUCUAACAGAGGAGAUUUUGAAAGAAAAUCCUAGUGUUUGUGAAUACAUGGCACCUUCAUUGGAUGCAAGGCAAGACAUGGUGGUGGUAGAGGUACCUAGACUAGGAAAGGAGGCUGCAGUGAAGGCUAUAAAAGAAUGGGGUCAACCAAAGUCAAAGAUUACUCACUUAAUCGUUUGCACCACAAGUGGUGUAGACAUGCCUGGAGCUGAUUAUCAACUCACAAAACUCUUGGGCCUUCGUCCAUAUGUGAAAAGGUAUAUGAUGUACCAACAAGGGUGUUUUGCAGGUGGCACGGUGCUUCGUUUGGCCAAAGAUUUGGCUGAGAACAACAAAGGUGCUCGUGUGUUGGUUGUUUGUUCUGAAGUCACCGCUGUCACAUUUCGUGGCCCCAGUGAUACUCACUUGGACAGCCUUGUUGGGCAAGCAUUGUUUGGAGAUGGAGCUGCUGCUCUUAUUGUUGGUUCUGACCCAGUACCAGAAAUUGAGAAACCUAUAUUUGAGAUGGUUUGGACUGCACAAACAAUUGCUCCUGAUAGUGAAGGAGCCAUUGAUGGUCACCUUCGUGAAGCUGGACUAACAUUUCACCUUCUUAAAGAUGUUCCUGGGAUUGUCUCAAAGAACAUUACUAAAGCAUUGGUUGAGGCUUUCGAGCCAUUGGGAAUUUCUGAUUACAACUCAAUCUUUUGGAUUGCACAUCCCGGUGGACCUGCAAUUCUAGAUCAAGUAGAGCAAAAGUUAGCCUUAAAGCCUGAAAAGAUGAAUGCAACUAGAGAAGUGCUCAGUGAAUAUGGAAAUAUGUCAAGUGCAUGUGUUUUGUUUAUCUUAGAUGAAAUGAGAAAGAAAUCAACUCAAAACGGAUUGAAGACAACGGGAGAAGGACUUGAGUGGGGUGUAUUAUUUGGUUUUGGACCAGGACUUACCAUUGAAACAGUUGUUUUGCGUAGUGUGACCAUAUGAGAUGUUUAAUAUUUUAUUUUCAUUUAUCGAUUUAUAAUUUGUUUAUCUUUUAUGUAUGGAUGUAAUUUCAUCUAGUGUUUAACAUGUACUAUCAUAUUAAAAUAAGAGAAUUGUGAUUACCUUUAUAUUCUAACAAUGGUUAUAUAUUUUACAAAACAUCAUUUAUAAUUAAAAACAAAGUCAUGUUAACAUAUUAAAGAUGUUGAAGGUGAUAAAAAUCUGAAUAAAGCCAAAAAAAAACAUGCAGAAGCAAUAAGAGAAAGAAAAGGGAAAAUAAUUUGGAUUAUAGUCACUGCUCAUUGUACUUCGCUCGACGUGAUCUUUGAUUGAUUGAUAAGAUUAGGUUGGCACUAACGUGUUUGUCUUUCCGCUUUUAUUAUCAAUGAAUGAUAAAAAUAGUAAAAGAUAAUUAGGUGAAGGGUAAAAUUGAAAGAAAAAUAUGUCAUAACAAUAUUCUCUGUAUAAGGUCAUAAUAAGGUUUUUUAUAGUGUCUAAUAGUAUUCCAAUUAUUUUGAAUUAUCCAUCCCAUUAUUGUUGAUUUUUCAUAUUUUAAUAGAAUUUAGCUAAUUUUAUAAAUGAUAAUUUAAAUAGAUAAUAAAAUAGGUUAAAUAAGAAAGUAGCUUUAAGACUCCAUGAUACAUCAGUGGAAGUUUAUUUUAAUAUCCCUACAAUUUAAUCAAUUAAAAUUGCGGGGCUCCUUCAAGAUGAGUCAAAACCCUAAAUUCAUAAUUAAAGUUUAUUAAAAGGAUUUAAUUAAGAAAAUAAGCAAUUUACUACAGUUAUUAUCAGACAUAAGUAGGGUUAUCUAUCCUAUAAUUUAUCUAUAGAUCAGUUUUCAAGAUCACCGAUUCGGAUUCUCAUAUACAAAUUAAAUCUAACAAUCGAAACAUAAACUAAAUGAAAAAAUUUAUCAAUUGAAUCCAACAAAUAAGAAUGGGUUCAUCGUAGAAUCCUAAUCAAAGAGGUUUAGUUGCACAUGACAACCGACAUCAUUACAAAACAAUUGAAAAACAUACCCUAGAGAGAACAAGAGGAGGAUGGAGAUCUUAUACCUUGAAACUCCUUAUGUUUGACUCUUGCCUUGUACCACUAGCUUUCUCAAUGCUUUUCGGAAUGAAUAAAAAUGUGUGCAAGAGUCUCUGUUUAUAGUACAUCAUUACUUAGGGGUUAAGAGGUGAAAAUUUGGGUUUUCCACUAAAAACAACUUGGAAAACAAGCAAAAGUCACCUCCUGUCUGUCAACCAAGUGUGGGGCGCAUGAAGUGAGGCGCAUGGGGCAUCAAGGAAUGUUGUCUCAUGCGCAGCGGCGCAUGGCCCAUGCAUAGGGGCGCAUGAAGCAGUGCCUUCAAUGCGAAUUUUGCAUUUUCAUCCCUUUUUUGAUCCCUUUUUCUUCAUCUUGUAUUGUCUUCAAAAAUCUUCUAAGAACCAUUUAUGUUCAAUCCUCAUAUCCUUGAUCCUUCACUUGAUGUUUAUUUUUGCCGAUUUACAUGAUUUAUCACUAAAAAGACUCAAAACACCUAUGGAGUUGCAUGCUAUAAGAUAAAAGUGAAUUACAACGACUCAAAUGAAAACAAUACAAAUAGUUCCUUAGACCAUUAACAACUUCUCUAAAUUAUUUGCCUUCAAAUGCAAAGAAAAUAAUUAAAAAACUAGCCUUAAUUUUCAUAUGAUGCUCCGUCAUCACAUGCAUAAAUUAUAUGCCUAAGAAUUUCCAUAUGCCAAGCACGUGUUGGGCCAUGAAUAAUUGCAACUUGUGAUUGGAGCACACCAAAUGUCUGUUCCAGGUCUUUUCUUGCCGAUUCUUGAUUUUGAGCAAAUAGUUUUCUUUUUUCUCCCUGCGACAUUGGAAUGGUCUUGACAAAUGUAGCUCACUCGAAAUAUAUAUCGUCUGCUAGAUGGUACCCCCAUAUUAUAUGGAGUUCUACUGACUAUAUAUUGUAUUGUGGGUGCCUGUCCUUCCAAAAUAUCGUUAAACAUGUUGGAUUGGUUUAACACAUUAAUGUCAUUGUUUGAACCUGCUGCAAUGCCAAAAAAUGCAUGUCAAAUCCACAAGUCUUGUGAUGCCGCUGCUUCAAGCAUGAUCGUGGGUUUUACCAUGAUCACCUCGACAAAACUGGCAUGUCCAAGCAACCAGGCACUAUUUCCAUUCCCAAUGCAUACAAUCAAUGUAACCUAAAAUACCUAGAAAGCCGCAUAACUCACCUAUUUGUAAUAAGUUAUCAACAUCAUUGUUAUUUGCCCUUCGUACGUACUCAACCCCAAAUACCUUGUUCACACCUUUUACAAAUUUGUCUAAGCAUUCAACCGGCGUGUUUUCUCCAAUUUGAACAUAUUCAUCUACAAUAUCAACAUGAGAUUCAUAUACCAGCAUAUGAAUAGUAGCAGUAAAUUUCUACAAUGGUAAAAGAUAAAUUUUAAAAGUUGAAUCAAGCCUAAUUUGAAAAUAAUCAUUAUAAUGUCCAAGAAAUGUUAAAAUUAUAAGAGAUAAAAUUGUGAGAAAAAAAGUUGAGUGAAAUAUUUUUUGAAUGAACACAAUUUAUAAGUAAAAAAAGAUGGUAAAGAAAUAAAAGAAGAUGUGAUUUGUACAUAACAUUUUUUAUGUAUAAAAUGGUAACAUGUUUAAGCAUUUUUUAAUCAAGUGACUAUUACUUCACCAAGUGACGGGGAUUACAUGUUGGAGUACUCCAUUCAAAAUUAAUGUAAAAUUCCAUUCUUUUAUGAUGAUAGGUAAUGUACGUUAUAAAAAAAAAAAGCAACCGUUGGAGUUGCUUUAUAUAUUUAUUUGAUAGUUAAAGUCGACAUUUGAAGUCAACUUUAACUAUCAAGCAAAGAUGUCAACGAAUUUGCCCCGAUAUUUUAAUAGAUAGUUUACAAAAUAAUUGAAAAAAUGGUUAGACCAAGGAGGGUCUUCAAAGACAUGCGGGGUAUCUCCCACCUAACUCAAAAAUGAUCAAUCAUGGAUAUUAGAAACACACCAUUAUUGAAUAUAUAUAAAAUAGCAUCUGCAUAAUGCAAGUGUUUUAGUCAAACACGUGAUGUUCAGCUACCCUCCAAUAUCCCCACUCAUGCUCAGCUCCCAUCAUAUAAAAACCAUCUCACCCAAACAUCUUUGCACCACAACACACCAACACACUUUAACCCAUUCCUUUUCUACAACAAGUACUGAAAACUCAUUGUGUUCAAAUUUCAGUACUUCAUUUUAUACCAAAGAUAUAUCAAGAAUAUGGUGAGUGUGUCUGAAAUUCGUAAGGCUCAAAGAGCAGAAGGUCCUGCAACCAUUUUGGCCAUUGGUACUGCAAAUCCAGCAAAUUGUGUUGAACAAAGCACAUAUCCUGAUUUUUACUUUAAAAUUACAAAUAGUGAACACAAAGUUGAACUCAAAGAGAAAUUUCAGCGCAUGUGUAAGUAUUCUUCUCCUCUAUUUAUUAUUUUGAUAUACUUGAGUAUAUAAAUAUUUUUAGAUACUUUUCGUUUACAUUUAUCUCUAGUAUUUUUUAAUGUGAUGACGAUAGUUAAAUUACUAAAAAUACGGUACAAAUGUCAUUAUUUGUAGAAAUCGCUCAUGAUAUUAGUAUUGCCAACCAUAUUUAUAUACAUUACUUGCAUUAAGAAAUCAAUUAUUAUUUGUCCAAAAAAUAGAGACCAGUCAUUAUCUGAUUGGUUAUAUAGUAUAUAUUACACAAAAAUUGAUGUGCUAAUGCCAUUUCAUUAUAACUACUUCAGGUGAUAAAUCUAUGAUCAAGAGGAGAUACAUGUAUCUAACAGAAGAAAUUUUGAAAGAAAAUCCUAGUGUUUGUGAAUACAUGGCCCCUUCAUUGGAUGCUAGGCAAGACAUGGUGGUGGUAGAGGUACCUAGACUAGGGAAGGAGGCUGCAGUGAAGGCUAUAAAAGAAUGGGGUCAACCAAAGUCAAAGAUUACUCACUUAAUCGUUUGCACCACAAGUGGUGUUGACAUGCCUGGAGCAGAUUAUCAACUCACCAAACUAUUAGGUCUUCGCCCAUAUGUGAAAAGAUACAUGAUGUACCAACAAGGGUGCUUUGCAGGUGGCACGGUGCUCCGUUUGGCUAAAGAUUUGGCUGAGAACAACAAAGGUGCUCGUGUGUUGGUUGUUUGUUCUGAAGUCACCGCUGUCACAUUUCGUGGUCCUAGUGAUACUCACUUAGACAGCCUUGUUGGACAAGCACUAUUUGGAGAUGGAGCGGCUGCUCUUAUUGUUGGCUCUGACCCAGUACCAGAAAUAGAGAAACCUAUAUUUGAGAUGGUUUGGACUGCACAAACAAUUGCUCCUGAUAGUGAAGGAGCCAUUGAUGGUCACCUUCGUGAAGCUGGACUAACAUUUCACCUUCUUAAAGAUGUUCCUGGGAUUGUUUCAAAGAACAUUACUAAAGCAUUGGUUGAGGCUUUCGAGCCAUUGGGAAUUUCUGAUUACAACUCAAUCUUUUGGAUUGCACAUCCCGGUGGACCUGCAAUUCUAGAUCAAGUGGAGCAAAAGUUAGCCUUAAAGCCUGAAAAGAUGAAUGCAACUAGAGAAGUGCUCAGUGAAUAUGGAAAUAUGUCAAGUGCGUGUGUUUUGUUUAUCUUAGAU
rnacentral:lncRNA from 1 species